UGUUCUUUAAAUAGGGACUUGUAUGAAUGGCCACACGAGGGUUUUACUGUCUCUUACUUCCAAUCAGUGAAAUUGACCUUCCCGUGAAGAGGCGGGAAUAUAUUAAUAAGACGAGAAGACCCUAUGGAGCUUUAACUACUUAGCCCAAAAGAAACAAAUUUCAUUGCUAAGGAAACAACAACACUCUUUAUGGGCUAACAGCUUUGGUUGGGGUGACCUCGGAGAACAAGAAAUCCUCCGAGCGAUUUUAAAGACUAGACCUACAAGUCGAAUCACACAAUCGUUUAUUGAUCCAAAAAAUUGAUCAACGGAACAAGUUACCCUAGGGAUAACAGCGCAAUCCUAUUCAAGAGUCCAUAUCGACAAUAGGGUUUACGACCUCGAUGUUGGAUCAGGACAUCCCGAUGGUGCAACCGCUAUCAAAGGUUCGUUUGUUCAACGAUUAAAGU
rnacentral:rRNA from 1 species